CCUGAGGUACGACGACCUGUACGACCCCUACUUCGAUCUGGACAUCAAGGAGGCGCUCGGCAGGCUGCCCCGGGAGGUGGUCGACGCCCGCCACCAGCGCCUCAAGCGCGCCAUGGACCUCUCCAUGAAGCACCAGUACCUCCCCGACGACGUCCGGGUACGUCCCUCUCCCUGCCCCCUCCCGCCCUCUAAUCUGCGCGGAUCUCUCUCGAUUCGCGUGUCUCCGGUUUGUUGGAUGUGGGGAUGGCGUGCGGAUUUAUCCGAUCAAUUCUGGCCUUCUCGAGGGCCUGUGCGGUAGCCGCGAUUUCUCUAUGUGUUAUGGCUGAUGGUUGCGCGUUUAGUGAAAUGAAUCGGGAAAGUGAUGUGCGUAGUGCAUUUCGGUUGCAUAUGUGGUCUAGAUGUUCCAUUCGGUUCAUCCACGCUGCAUUGCAAUUCGCACUGUGGUUUGUUGUCUAGGAAACCGGUGAAUUAGAUGCUGGAGAUUUCAAUAGUUUGGAGGAGAGAAGUUGUACACAGCAAUUAUGGAGUUCAUAUUUGAGUGAGAAAUGGUCAUGGUUUAGGUUUGAUAGAACUUUGAAAUGUUACAUGAGAAUGAGAAUAAAGGAUUAGGUUUGAUAAAGCAUAAAAUUGUUGAAAUCUAUUAUGUUAUACUAGCGAGUCAGAUUAUUGUCCACAUUUUUGCAUGGUUUAAUUAGUCUUGCGAUCUUAUCGUGUCAUUUUUCAGUAUGUAGUUUAAAUCCCUAUUUAUGAUGCUUCGAUUGUUUCGAGGUUCAUAUGUAUUUUGGUGUACAAAGUUCUUUCUCUGGACGCAUUUUGCUUAGAUGGGUUUGAAUGAAUACCCAUCCUGUUGAUUUAUUCUUCAGUGCUGAAUAUGUUUUAGAUUAUUUCUCCCUGAAGAUCCAUUAACCCAUAUGGCCUGUGAUGUGUGAGAAACAUUCAUUAUGAACUAACUAUUCUUUUAGGUUCAGUAAUCAGUUUUGAUUACCAUUACACUAGCUAUUAUCAAACAUACGUAAGACACACAGGUCUUCUGAAACCUUUACUUCUUCUGUACAGGCACUGCAGACACCAUUCAAAAGCUAUUUGAGCGACAUGCUGGCUCUGGUAAGUGUAUUUGCUGAUGAUUGUCUUUUGUAUUGUCAUGUAUAAAUAAGUUAUAAUAUUCUGUAUGCUGCUUUGAACUAUGUACCCACUUCAAGUACAAGCGUGCUACAUUUCGGUCAUGCUGUAGAAUUCAGCCCUUGCACUUUUCUGCAUCAAUGUAUUUAUGCAACAUGUAUAGAUUAGCUUCAACUGGCAAUCCGGACGGAGAAUGGACCUUCUGAUACAAACUCAUUUGUCUGAUUUGAUGAAUGGAGUGGGUUGAUCCGUCAUCCCAAAACCAUUGGAUGGCCCCAUGAUUUGGCAAUCCAUCAUAGGAUGAGAUGUGAUGCCUCAAAUUAAACACCCUAUGUGUUUUAUGUAAAGCAGUUUCAUCAAGUUCCUCCCUAAACCAUGCUAUCUUGUAGUUUUCUUAUCCUUUGCAUCUUUGACCCUAUAUAAACAUUAAGCUCGCGCCUUACACCUUUCUUGGUCGUUUUGCAUUUAGAGCAUGUUUUGUCAGAUGAGUAGUUAAGUACAAGAUGGUACAGGCGUACAGCCAUAAAAUUUGUGAAGUCAUGAUCUACGUAUGUAAGGUGUGACUAAUGUGUAGCAUCCUUCUAACACCUCUGCCAACUUAGUUUGGCAGUUCCUAGAACUAAUUAUUAUUUCAACAUACAAGUAUUUCUCCAAACAAGACUGGUGUUAACCUAAAAAAUUCCUGGGCUUUAAGCCGAUGAUUUGAUAUUAUCCUGCGAAGCUAUUUACCAUUUCAAUACCAUUAAGGUCCGUUCCAAGUUGGCUAAUGUUUUGAUCUCACAUUCUGUUGCAGGUGAAAAAGGAGGCAGCAGAGCGUAAAGCACUGGGAGCCCUUCCCCUCUACGAGAGAACCCUUCCUUGAAGACAUUUUUCCUUGAUAUGCGCCACAGCUUUUGCUCCUCGUAGCAUCACAAUGCAUGAAAUAAAAUGCAGAUUAUGACACUGUUCCUCCUUCCGGUUUCAUGUCCAUGGCCUGUAGCUCGUGCCCCUUCCCAAAUUAAUUGCGACAGAAUUUCUGUUGCUGUUGCUGAUAUAAAAGUUUGUUUUGGUUGACGGAAUUGUUGCUAUAGAAGUCUGAACAAGUCUGUGCUCUUGGGCCUUUUCCGUUGAGCAACUGUUUGUUGUUUGCUUCCGGGUUUACGCUGCCUAUUUCUACAGAGCUGUGGUGCUAGUGAUCUGCUAUGUGCUGUGAAUUGUUCUUCCGAGCUUGCCUAGAGAUGUUUCU
rnacentral:lncRNA from 1 species